AAGUCGUAACAAGGUUUCCGUAGGUGAACCUGCGGAAGGAUCAUUAAUACGUUUGAAAAAAACGUUUUAAACUCCAAAAUUUUAAUAGUGGAAAAUAUAACUUCCGGAUGCAUUUGUAGGAGGGGAGAUCAGACCUUAAAUAGUCUGUUUUUCUCUUUUGAAAAGGAGACUUCAUGCACUUUAUUGUGUGUGACACUUCAGAGUAGAGCAGUGAGGUGAAAAUUCAGUAAUGAGUUUUGGUUCUGAAAUACAUCUGUAUCCGGUUAUUCUCUGUUCUACAACUUUAAAUUAUCAAACAAUAAACCCCAUGUACAACAACUUGAACUAAACAAUUUUGUUUUCUAUAACACUCUUCGGAGGUGAGAAGAUGAAGUAAAAUCUGAACUUAAGAACAACUCUUAACAACGGAUAUCUUGGUUCUC
rnacentral:misc_RNA from 1 species